rnacentral:rRNA from 1 species
UCGGGAAUUUUGGGCAAUGGGCGAAAGCCUGACCCAGCAACGCCGCGUGAGGGAUGAAGUAUUCCGGUAUGUAAACCUCGAAAGGAUGGGAAGAAUAAAUGACGGUACCAUUUAUAAGCUCCGGCUAACUACGUGCCAGCAGCCGCGGUAAUACGUAGGGAGCAAGCGUUGUUCGGAUUUACUGGGCGUAAAGGGCGCGUAGGCGGCGCGGUAAGUCACUUGUGAAAUCUCUGAGCUUAACUCAGAACGGCCAAGUGAUACUGCUGUGCUAGAGUGCGGAAGAGGCAACCCGAAUUCUUGGUGUGGCGGUGAAAUGCGUAGAUAUCAAGAGGAACACCUGAGGCGAAGGCGGGUUGCUGGGCCGACACUGACGCUGAUGCGCGAAAGCCAGGGGAGCAGACG